rnacentral:lncRNA from 1 species
AUGGGUGCCUGCCCCCAGCUUCCCGAAGCCCAGCCACCAGCCCCUGCCUCCUCGCAGCGCCCCCAGGAGUCUGCCCCUACAGUGGGCCGGCCACUCCCUGCCAGAGAGAGCUGGAAAAUGGCCUUGAUUUGGGUGGUUUUUGUUUACUUGCGCAGUUAUGAACUUUGGAAUGUGCUGCGGGGCUCGAAGUUUCUCAACAUGGGUUCAGGACUCUGUGAACCACGGGGCCUUGAAAGCAAACUGCUGGUCCUGGUCCGGGGGAGAGGGAGGGGCGGGGCAGGCCGAAGAGGGCCUGGGGCCUGGAGCCUGGUGUGGCCACGGGGGCAGCAGGCCCAGGGACACCCAUACAUCAUCCCACGGAACCUGAGUUUGAAUUCCAGUCUCCUUCCUGCUCCCCAACCCUGGACCGUGCUGCCAAGCCCUCUGCCUGACCAUCAUUUAAGUCACCACCUGUCAUGGGACACAGUGGAAUGUGUCCUCAAAAUAAAUUCAGCAUCUCCAAUUCUACCAUUAGUUAUUCUUUCCUUUGGGUUAUUGUAUCGUCAGCAUUUGCUGCAGCGACAGGCACCCCAACAUCUCAGAGGCUCACGACAUUUAGUGUGUGACACGCGACCACUGUGAGCCGGCUACCGCUCUGCUGGCCCGGCGGGCCUCAGAGGGCGUCAGAGGGCCCGGCUGGCUCCAGGGUUGUCCAGCGUCUGUUCUCCUGGAGGAUCGCUGCAGUAAGAGGGAAGAACCAAACACAGCUUGGGCUCGGGGGUGGCUACCUCCCACCGGCCAAAGCAAGUCACACGGUCAAGCUCCCCCUCAGUGGGGUCAGGGAGGCUGACGGGAUGGGGGCAAGCGAUACGCUCUCCCCCAGUGUGCACCAGGUUCUCCUGCCACCACGGCUGUCUUCCUUCAGGUCACGCCCACGUCCUCAACGGCGGGGAGUCGAUUACGGUGCUGCUCACUCCUUCCUGCCCACCCACCAGCAAACGGCCACAAUGGGACGCGUGCCGGGAGGUCAAGGAGAAGGGACAGUGACCACCAGGGGCAGGGGCAGGGGAGGCUCCCAGUGGGGACUGGCCACGGCCGCACUUGUCACCACUGACAUUGCUGCUCUGCCCUGGAGUGACCCGAGAGGAACUGUUCCCACCGGCUCAGCAGGCAGGAGCUGAGCCCCUCGGGUCUGGGUUUGCCCGGUUGGACCACUCCCCUGCAGGCCUGAGGGGUGACCCAGGAGCCGGGGGAGGCCCCCGAGGCCCCAGGGGUAGGAGGCAGAACAGAAGUCAAGAAGGAGCCACUCACAGAUCCAUCCUGGGACAGCUCCCUUCUCCUUGGGGUUUUCCCGGGACUCUCUGGGGACAGAAGAGAAAGGCUGCCUGCUGCCCCAGCCGCUCCCAGCAGCCUUUCUGGACGGCAAGCCCAUGGCUACUGGGCCCUGAUCAGAUGGCCUAGCCUGUGCGUCUGGGAGGCCCGUGGGGAGCCACGGCUGUGGCUGUAGCUGCUAGCCGUUGCUGAGAAAGAAGCCGGGUGGGUGAGCCAUGGAGGGCAGGGGGGUGGGCAAGAUAGGCCCCCACCCAAGCAGCUGGGGCAGAACCUGCAGCUGUGAGGAGAGCACCUGUCACCCUCCCCAGGUGAGCCCCACCAGGUGCCGUGGGGCUGAACGGAGCCAGCCGGGGGACGGGAGCCCCACCUGGCAGGGCCUGGCCACGAACACGCAGCUGGGCAGCGGAAGAGCUGGUCUGGCCCUGUGGCCCCGAGACACAGCUCCACACCGUCCCCUUGGGUGAUGCGACCUGGAGGUUGUGGGCUAGUGACUGUUAAGAUCCAGAACACCCCACCCGUGCAGCCAUGUUGCCGAGCCCCUGGGACAUAACAGUCCACGGCGAGGGGAGGAGGGGGAACCCCUUGCCUCAGGGAAGUCCCAAGUCCUCAGGCCUGAUGCCCAGGAGGACAUCCGUGGCCGGCAGGAGUCCGCGAACGGCAGAGUUUAGAACUGACAUGGCAGAGGCGGGAGGG